ACACACACACACACACACACACACACACACACACACACACACACACACACACACACACACACACACACACACACACACACACACACACACACACACACACACACACACACACACACACACACACACACACACACACACACUGGACCCCUGUUGCUGCUGGCUGUGAGUGUUCCCUCCUGUCAAGCCUGUUUAGGCCUGCCUGUUUCCUGCUGGCUCUGUGUACCCAGUCCAGCCUCUACCCAGUCACUGGGCUCUGUUUAAACAGAACAGGGGACUUAGUGUUGCACAGGCGACAGCCCUGUCUGAAUACUAAAAUAGUGCAAGAUGGUUGCUACUGGUGCUCAUCACUUCUCAGACUGGUUUCCAUCCUUCUUCAUUUCUUCCUCUCCUCCUCUAUUUCCUCUCCUCCUCUAUUUCUUCUCCUUCUCUAUUUCCUCAUCUUCACUGAUCUAGAAGGACCAAGAUAGAGACUUGAUACAGAUAAAAGCAACAUGGUGGUGAUGAAGGAACAGUAACAUGGUGGAGGUGAAGGAACAGUAAUAUGGUGGAGGAACAGUAACAUGGUGGAGGAACAGUGACAUGGUGAAGGUGAAGGAACAGUAACAUGGUGGAGGUGAAGGAACAGUAAUAUGGUGGAGGAACAGUAACAUGGUGGAGGAACAGUAACAUGGUGAAGGUGAAGGAACAGUAACAUGGUGGAGGUGAAGGAACAGUAACAUGGUGGAGGUGAAGGAACAGUAAUAUGGUGGAGGAACAGUAACAUGGUGGAGGAACAGUAACAUGGUGAAGGUGAAGGAACAGUAACAUGGUGGAGGUGAAGGAACAGUAACAUGGUGGAGGUGAAGGAACAGUAAUAUGGUGGAGGAACAGUAACAUGGUGGAGGAACAGUAACAUGGUGGAGGAACAGUAACAUGGUGAAGGUGAAGGAACAGUAACAUGGUGGAGGAACAGUAACAUGGUGAAGGAACAGUAACAUGGUGGAGGUGAAGGAACAGUAAUAUGGUGGAGGAACAGUAACAUGGUGGAGGAACAGUAACAUGGUGAAGGUGAAGGAACAGUAACAUGGUGGAGGAACAGUAACAUGGUGAAGGAACAGUAACAUGGUGGAGGUGAAGGAACAGUAACAUGGUGGAGGUGAAGGAACAGUAAUAUGGUGGAGGAACAGUAACAUGGUGGAGGUGAAGGAACAGUAAUAUGGUGGAGGAACAGUAACAUGAUGGAGGUGAAGGAACAGUAAUAUGGUGGAGGUGAAGGAACAGUAACAUGGUGGAGGUGAAGGAACAGUAACAUGGUGGAGGUGAAGGAACAGUAACAUGGUGGAGGUGAAGGAACAGUAAUAUGGUGGAGGAACAGUAACAUGGUGGAGGUGAAGGAACAGUAAUAUGGUGGAGGAACAGUAACAUGGUGGAGGAACAGUAACAUGGUGAAGGUGAAGGAACAGUAACAUGGUGGAGGUGAAGGAACAGUAACAUGGUGGAGGUGAAGGAACAGUAAUAUGGUGGAGGAACAGUAACAUGGUGGAGGUGAAGGAACAGUAACACGGUGGAGGUGAAGGAACAGUAACAUGGUGGAGGUGAAGGAACAGUAAUAUGGUGGAGGAACAGUAACAUGGUGGAGGUGAAGGAACAGUAAUAUGGUGGAGGAACAGUAACAUGGUGGAGGAACAGUAACAUGGUGAAGGUGAAGGAACAGUAACAUGGUGGAGGAACAGUAACAUGGUGAAGGAACAGUAACAUGGUGGAGGUGAAGGAACAGUACCAUGGUGGAGGUGAAGGAACAGUAAUAUGGUGGAGGAACAGUAACAUGAUGGAGGUGAAGGAACAGUAAUAUGGUGGAGGAACAGUAACAUGAUGGAGGUGAAGGAACAGUAACAUGGUGGAGGUGAAGGAACAGUAACAUGGUGGAGGUGAAGGAACAGUAACAUGGUGGAGGUGAAGGAACAGUAAUAUGGUGGAGGAACAGUAACAUGGUGGAGGAACAGUAACAUGGUGGAGGUGAAGGAACAGUAACAUGGUGGAGGAACAGUAACAUGGUGGAGGAACAGUAACAUGGUGGAGGUGAAGGAACAGUAACAUGGUGAAGGAACAGUAACAUGGUGAAGGAACAGUAACAUGGUGGAGGUGAAGGAACAGUAACAUGGUGAAGGAACAGUAACAUGGUGGAGGUGAAGGAACAGUAACAUGGUGAAGGAACAGUAACAUGGUGGAGGAACAGUAACAUGGUGGAGGUGAAGGAACAGUAACAUGAUGGAGGUGAAUGAACAGUAAAAUGAUGGAGGUGAAGGAACAGUAACAUGAUGGAGGAACAGUAACAUGAUGGAGGUGAAGGAACAGUAACAUGAUGGAGGUGAAGGAACAGUAACAUGAUGGAGGAACAGUAACAUGAUGGAGGUCAAGGAACAGUAACAUGGUGGAGGUGAAGGAACAGUAACAUGAUGGAGGUGAAGGAACAGUAACAUGAUGGAGGUGAAUGAACAGUAACAUGAUGGAGGAACAGUAACAUGAUGGAGGUGAAGGAACAGUAACAUGAUGGAGGUGAAGGAACAUUAACAUGAUGGAGGUGAAGGAACAGUAACAUGAUGGAGGUGAAGGAACAGUAACAUGGUGGAGGUGAAGGAACAGUAACAUGAUGGAGGUGAAGGAACAGUAACAUGGUGGAGGUGAAGGAACAGUAACAUGGUGGAGGUGAAGGAACAGUAACAUGGUGGAGGUGAAGGAACAGUAACAUGAUGGAGGUGAAGGAACAGUAACAUGGUGGAGGUGAAGGAACAGUAACAUGAUGGAGGUGAAGGAACAGUAACAUGAUGGAGGUGAAGGAACAGUAACAUGGUGGAGGUGAAGGAACAGUAACAUGAUGGAGGUGAAGGAACAGUAACAUGGUGGAGGUGAAGGAAUAGCAACAUGUUGGAGGUGAAGGAACAGUAACAUGGUGGAGGUGAAGGAACAGUAACAUGAUGGAGGUGAAGGAACAGUAACAUGGUGGAGGUGAAGGAACAGUAACAUGAUGGAGGUGAAGGAACAGUAACAUGGUGGAGGUGAAGGAACAGUAACAUGGUGGAGGUGAAGGAACAGUAACAUGGUGGAGGUGAAGGAACAGUAACAUGAUGGAGGUGAAGGAACAGUAACAUGAUGGAGGUGAAGGAACAGUAACAUGAUGGAGGUGAAGGAACAGUAACAUGAUGGAGGUGAAGGAACAGUAACAUGGUGGAGGUGAAGGAAUAGCAACAUGUUGGAGGUGAAGGAACAGUAACAUGGUGGAGGUGAAGGAACAGUAACAUGAUGGAGGUGAAGGAACAGUAACAUGGUGGAGGUGAAGGAACAGUUACAUGAUGGAAGUGAAGGAACAGUAACAUGAUGGAUGGAGGUGAAUCCUCCACAAUCUUGGCUGUUUCACACCUGACCUCAGUGUGAAUGACUAACUACCAUCCUUCCACUCCUCCACAUCCCUUCACUCCUCCAUCCAUCCAUCCAUCCCUGCCCACCGGCCCUUGACUCAGGUGUCAUGGGUCUCUCACUGUCCUUUCCCCCUCUCUCUCGCUCUCUCCCCUUCGUCAGGCUGGAAGCUAGAGGCUGGACCUGCAAUGAGCGCAGACACACUCACGCAUGAUAUACGCAAGCACACACAUAUAGUAUGUACUGUAUAUACACACACACACUGCUAUGGGUCAUGACCUCUGUACCACCCUCAGACCAUGGAUGACAUCAUCAAUGGUUUGAUUGAUACAAAUGGAGCAAGAGAGAGAGAGAGAGCGAGAGAGAGAGAGAGAAAGGGAAAGAGCACAGGGAAAUCACAGAGAGAGAAUAAAAGAGUUGGUUCACAUUAGCAUCUAUAGUCAAAGCAGUGCUUGACUUUUAAUGAGUACCGGCACCUAUUUCAGUCAGUCAAGCACUGGUGAAAGUGGUCCUUCUUUCUCUCCAGUCACCUUUCAUUCACCCUGAUGGACCUGUGAUACACUCUACUGAUUUGCAUCUCAAGCAUCCCUCCAAAGAGCAACCAGUGAAUGGAAAUCAUUGGAAACCCUGCUCCCCGAGCCAUGGAGGCUGUAGAGAUACAUGUAUAUAAUGACAAUGGCCACCAGCCAAAGCUCACUCACUGUGCCUUUAAAGCCAGAUUGUUUGAGGCAAUGUCAUUUGGGGAUUAGUGUCAGUCCAGAUUGCAAGACUGAUGUUGCAAUGAUUAUUUCUCUAUAUGCGUUUCCGUUUUGUAUUUCCUCUUUUGAACCAUCUGUCUUUGGUCUGUUCAUGUCAAUCACUCUCCUGGAGCUUGUUUUAGCUGUGUUCAGAGCUCUUCUAUCUGAUUGCCUCUUCUGCAUCUGGAUGGGUUUGAUAUUGUGUGUGU